UGGUGACAAUGGCAAGGAGGUCACACCUGUUCCCAUGCCGAACACAGAAGUUAAGCUCCUUAGCGCCGAUGGUAGUCGGACUUACGUU
rnacentral:rRNA from 1 species